UUAAUUUUAUGAUCAAGGUUAGGUUAAGGAACUCGGCAAAUAUACUUUUCGCCUGUUUAUUAAAAACAUGUCUUUUUGAUUAUAAUUUAAAGUCUGGCCUGCCCAAUGAGGAGUUAAAUGGCCGCGGUAAUUUGACCGUGCAAAGGUAGCAUAAUCAUUAGUUUUUUAAUUGAAAGCUGGAAUGAACGGUCGGACGAGAAAGUGACUGUCUCGAUUUAAUUGUUAUUAGAAUUUUAUUUAUAAGUAAGAAAGCUUAUAUGGUUUUAAAAGACGAGAAGACCCUAUAGAAUUUUAUAGUUAACUAGGUAUGAUGUUAUUGGAAUUUUAAGUUUUAUAUUUGUUUAAUUAUUUUGUUGGGGCGACUGAAAAAUUGAAUGAACUUUUUUUAUGCUAUUUCAUUGAUUUAUGUGUGUUUGAUCCACUUGUUGUGAUUAUAAGAUAAAAUUUACCUUAAGGGAUAACAGCGUAAUUUUUCCUUAAGAGUUCUUAUCGAAAGAAGAGUUUGCGACCUCGAUGUUGGAUUAAAAUUUAACUUUUGGUGCAGGGGCUAAAAGGUUAGGUCUGUUCGACCUUUAAAAUUUUACAUGAUCUGAGUUUAAACCGGCGUGAGCCAGGUUGGUUUCUAUCUUUAAGAUAG
rnacentral:ncRNA from 1 species